CAAAUCGAGAAGAGCACGAGGCGAAUGCCUUGGCACAUGGCGCCGACGAAGGACGGUCAAGCACCGAUAGCCGCGGGGAGUCCAAAAGACAGUGAUCCGUGGGUUUCCGAAUGGAGCAAUCCGGCAGGUGAAGAACCUGUCAUCCUACCGCCAAUCCAUAACGGUAGGAGGGGACACCCGGCCAACUGAAACAUCUCAGUAACCGGAGGAAAAGAAAGCAAACGCGAUUUCCUUAGUAGCGGCGAGCGAAGGGGAAAGAGGCCGAUAGUGAAGAAGACGAAAGAGACCCAGGCGAAUCUUCUGGAAAGAAGAACCAAAGAAGGUAAAAGUCCUGUAACUGAAAGGUUUUGCCGUUGUCACGACAGAGUACCAUCGAACACGAGAAAUUUGGUGGGAACAUGGGAGGACCACCUCCUAAGCCUAAAUACGACCAUGUGACCGAUAGUGAACAAGUACCGUGAGGGAAAGGUGAAAAGAACCCCGGAAGGGGAGUGAAAGAGAAUCUGAAACCUUGUGCUUACAAGCAGAUAGAGGGGUCAUGCACCCUGAUAUCGUACUUUUUGUAGAACGGGCCAGCGAGUUAUAUUCGUAAGCGAGGUUAAGCCCUACAGGGGCGGAGCCGGAGGGAAACCGAGUGUGAAUAGCGCGAGAGUUUGCGGAUAUAGACCCGAAACCGGGUGAUCUAGUCAUGAGCAGGAUGAAGUAGAAGUAAAAUUCUAUGGAAGACCGAACCAGGUGCGGUUUAAAACGCAUUGGAUGACUUGUGAUUAGGGGUGAAAAGCCAAUCGAACCCGGAGAUAGCUGGUUCUCCUCGAAACCACUUUAGGGUGGGCCUCAUGAGGAAGAUAAAGGGAGGUAGAGCACUGAAUGGUCGCGGGGGAUAUAUCCUACCAACACCUAUCAAACUUCGAAUUCCGUUUAUUAUCCAUGGGAGUUAGACUAUGUGGGAUAAGCUUCAUAGUCGAAAGGGAAACAGCCCAGACCGUCAGCUAAGGUCCCUAAAUCAUGUUCAGUGGAAAAGGAGGUCAUUCUACUUAGACAACCAGGACGUUGGCUUAGAAGCAGCCAUGCAUUGAAAGAGUGCGUAAUAGCUCACUGGUCGAGUGGAGCGGCGCCGAAGAUACACGGGGCUAAACAUGAUACCGAAGCUACGGGAUUGAUCGAGACAAAAAGUAUUUUGUUCAACACGCUUACGGAUUGUGAAGACUAGAAAUAUCGAAGUCAAAUUUCUACAACGAAAACGCGUUAAAGAGAUUGAGGUAAGAAGCAAGUUAUCUUUAUUGAAUUAAUGCAAUUUCACGCAAGAGAGAUUCACAAGAAACGUGCAAGUGAACAGAAUACUUUUUGUCUUGACAAUCGGUAGAGGAGCAUUGUAUGUGCAUUGAAGCAGAAGGGAUAACCCACUGUGGAGGGCAUACAAGAGAGAAUGCUGGCAUGAGUAGCGAGAAGGCGAGUGAGAAUCUCGCCCGUCGAAAGCCGAAGGAUUCCUGAGCAAGGCUCGUCCUCUCAGGGUUAGUCGGGACCUAAGCUGAGGCCGAAGGGCGUAGGCAAUGGAUAUCCGGUGGAGAUUCCGGAACUGUUUUUACUCGUUUGAGAGAAGUGUUGACGCAGAAGGCUAAGGGAAGCAGGCGAAAGGUAGAGCCUGUCCAAGGAGGUAGGCGAGUUCGGUAGGUAAAUCCGCCGAAUGGUGCUGAGAUCUGAUGGGGACCGAAAAAUAAGUAGGGAAGUCUCUGAUGCCCGGCUGCCGAGAAAAGACGCUAUCGAGAGUAAGAGCACCCGUACCAAAACCGACACAGGUUGGCAAGAUGAGAAUUCUAAGACGCGCGGAAGAACCUUUGUUAAGGAACUCGGCAAAAUGACUCCGUAACUUCGGGAGAAGGAGUGCCAUAUAAAAAUAGAACUUCACGUUCGACGAAUCGUAUGGCUGCAGUGAAUCGGCCCAAGCGACUGUUUACCAAAAACACAAGUAUCUGCGAAGUCGUAAGACGAAGUAUAGGUGCUGACACCUGCCCGGUGCUGGAAGGUCAAGGGGAAGCGUUAGCGCAAGCGAAGCGUUGAACUUAAGCCCCAGUAAACGGCGGCCGUAACUAUAACGGUCCUAAGGUAGCGAAAUUCCUUGUCGGGUAAGUUCCGACCCGCACGAAAGGUGUAACGAUUUGGGCGCUGUCUCAACAAAGGAUCCGGUGAAAUUGUAGUACCCGUGAAGAUGCGGGUUACCCACGCUAGGACGGAAAGACCCCAUGGAGCUUUACUGUAGGCUGACAUUGGACUUUGGUUUUUAAUGUACAGAAUAGGUGGGAGACUGUGAGCUAGUGGCGCCAGCUGCUAGGGAGUCGCCUUUUGGAUACCACCCUUUAAGGACUAGAGUUCUAACCUAGGUCCGUGAUCCGGACCGGGGACACUGUCAGUUGGUCAGUUUGACUGGGGCGGUCGCCUCCCAAAGAGUAACGGAGGCGUUCAAAGGUCUGCUCAGGAUGGACGGAAACCAUUCAAUGAGUGUAAAGGCAGAAGCAGGCUUGACUGCGAGAGCAACAACUCGAGCAGGUGCGAAAGCAGGACUUAGUGAUCCGGCGGUUGCGAGUGGAAGUGCCGUCGCUUAACGGAUAAAAGCUACCCUGGGGAUAACAGGCUUAUACCCCCCAAGAGUUCACAUCGACGGGGGUGUUUGGCACCUCGAUGUCGGCUCGUCUCAUCCUGGAGCUGGAGCAGGUUCCAAGGGUUGGGCUGUUCGCCCAUUAAAGAGGUACGCGAGCUGGGUUCAGAACGUCGUGAGACAGUUCGGUCCCUAUCCAGCGUGGGCGUAGGAAAUUUGCGAGGAGCUGCCCCUAGUACGAGAGGACCGGGGUGGACAGACCGAUAGUUUACCAGUUGUUCUGCCAAGGGCACCGCUGGGUAGCUACGUCUGGACAGGAUAAGCGCUGAAGGCAUCUAAGCGCGAAGCCCCCCUCAAGAUGAGAUUUCCGAAAGAGACCAGGUAGAAAAUCUGGUUGAUAGGUCAGAGGUGGAAGUGCAGUAAUGCAUGAAGCUGACUGAUACUAAUUACUCGUGAAUUU
rnacentral:rRNA from 1 species